GGAAGGGAGGGUGUUUCUUGGACUUAGCCAGCUUCCUGGGAUGGAUUGCUAUACGUCCAAAGAUCUCCUUCACUAGUUGUGUACAACACUAAUGAUGUGAAAUGAGUGAGAAAGGAGCUCAUGGACAAUGUUAUUGGUGGACCACAGUCUACAUUUUCAUCUAUGAAUCAAAUAAGAGACAGCAUCAGGCCCUUUAUCUAGCUGUCUCAGAUUUCAUGACAGACUGCAAAUAUGUCUUCUGGCUCCUUCAUGGACUGUGGUCAAGUGAAAUAAUUUGAUAAUUCUGCAAUUCAGGAAGCAGCACUGGAGCGCAUCAAGAGGAUACAUGAUCAAUACAUACAAUUAAUCUACUGAUUGAUCAUUUGGUUCAGAAGUAUACUUAUGUUCAGAACUUUCAGUACACUUUUGCUGUCCUAAUACUGUAUAAUAAUCACUAGUUGUUUCCAAAGUAUGAGAGACUUAGGUAAGUUUUUGCUAAUACCAUUGUGGGACAAGUUUUGAAGAUAAAAAUUGAAUAUAGAGCUGAGAUGUUUGUCAUAGUCAGAAUUUAAAGUUAUGCUAUUCUUCAGAAUACUUUUAUUCCUGUAAUUACUGUUAUGUACCGUAUGUGUGUAUAUAACAACUUGGUCAAAUGAAGAGCAAAACUAUUUUUUCUCUCCUAAUACUGGUCUAUCAAAUACUUUAUUUUGCAUUUUUAUAAGACAAGUAAAAGCUUUGUAAUUAUUACAGAAAGGAAAAAUGUAAUUUUAAUUUACAA